AGGGACUGACUACAAUGUCAGCAAAUACACUUCACUGACUGGCUGUGUGACUGUUUUUUAUGAGGUCAUUCCAACCACUGACUGGCUGUGUGACUGUUUUUUAUGAGGUCAUUCCAACCACUGACUGCUGUGUGACUGUUUUUUAUGAGGUCAUUCCAACCACUGACUGCUGUGUGACUGUUUUUUAUGAGGUCAUUCCAACCACUAAUUGGCUGUGUGACUGUUUUUUAUGAGGUCAUUCCAACCACUGACUGCUGUGUGACUGUUUUUUAUGAGGUCAUUCCAACCACUGACUGGCUGUGUGACUGUUUUUUAUGAGGUCAUUCCAACCACUCACUGGGUGUGUGACUGUUUUUUAUGAGGUCAUUCCAACCACUGACUGCUGUGUGACUGUUUUUUAUGAGGUCAUUCCAACCACUGACUGGCUGUGUGACUGUUUUUUAUGAGGUCAUUCCAACCACUGACUGGCUGUGUGACUGUUUUUUAUGAGGUCAUUCCAACCACUGACUGGCUGUGUGACUGUUUUUUAUGAGGUCAUUCCAACCACUGACUGCUGUGUGACUGUUUUUUAUGAGGUCAUUCCAACCACUGACUGCUGUGUGACUGUUUUUUAUGAGGUCAUUCCAACCACUGACUGGCUGUGUGACUGUUUUUUAUGAGGUCAUUCCAACCACUGACUGGCUGUGUGACUGUUUUUUAUGAGGUCAUUCCAACCACUGACUGGCUGUGUGACUGUUUUUUAUGAGGUCAUUCCAACCACUGACUGCUGUGUGACUGUUUUUUAUGAGGUCAUUCCAACCACUGACUGGCUGUGUGACUGUUUUUUAUGAGGUCAUUCCAACCACUGACUGGCUGUGUGACUGUUUUUUAUGAGGUCAUUCCAACCACUGACUGCUGUGUGACUGUUUUUUAUGAGGUCAUUCCAACUACUGACUGGGUGUUAUAGGACCCGACCUGAAAGUGCACUCG